rnacentral:rRNA from 1 species
UACGGGGGGGGCAAGCGUUGUUCGGAAUUACUGGGCGUAAAGGGCUCGUAGGCGGCCAACUAAGUCGGAUGUGAAAUCCCCAGGCUUAACCUGGGAACUGCAUCUGAUACUGGAUGGCUUGAUUCCGGGAGAGGGAUGCAGAAUUCCAGGUGUAGCGGUGAAAUGCGUAGAUAUCUGGAGGAAUACCGGUGGCGAAGGCGGCAUCCUGGACCGGCAUUGACGCUGAUGAGCGAAAGCUAGGGGAGCAAACGGG